GACGAACGCUGGCGGCGUGCUUAACACAUGCAAGUCGAACGGAAAGGCCCUGCUUGCAGGGUACUCGAGUGGCGAACGGGUGAGUAACACGUGGGUGAUCUGCCCUGCACUUCGGGAUAAGCUUGGGAAACUGGGUCUAAUACCGGAUAGGAGCCAUCUUUAGUGUGGUGGUUGGAAAGUUUUUUCGGUGUAGGAUGAGCUCGCGGCCUAUCAGCUUGUUGGUGGGGUAAUGGCCUACCAAGGCGGCGACGGGUAGCCGGCCUGAGAGGGUGUAUGGCCACAUUGGGACUGAGAUACGGCCCAGACUCCUACGGGAGGCAGCAGUGGGGAAUAUUGCACAAUGGGCGCAAGCCUGAUGCAGCGACGCCGCGUGGGGGAUGAAGGCCUUCGGGUUGUAAACUCCUUUCGCUAGGGACGAAGCUUUGUUGUGACGGUACCUAGAUAAGAAGCACCGGCUAACUACGUG
rnacentral:rRNA from 1 species